AUUGAACGCUGGCGGCAGGCCUAACACAUGCAAGUCGAGCGGGGUUUUCGGACCUAGCGGCGGACGGGUGAGUAAUGCGUAGGAAGCUACCCGAUAGGGGGGGAUACCAGUUGGAAACGACUGUUAAUACCGCAUAAUGUCUACGGACCAAAGUGUGGGACCUUCGGGCCACAUGCUAUCGGAUGCGCCUACGUGGGAUUAGCUAGUUGGUGGGGUAAUGGCUCACCAAGGCGACGAUCCCUAGCUGGUUUGAGAGGAUGAUCAGCCACACUGGAACUGAGACACGGUCCAGACUCCUACGGGAGGCAGCAGUGGGGAAUAUUGGACAAUGGGCGCAAGCCUGAUCCAGCAAUACCGCGUGUGUGAAGAAGGCCUGAGGGUUGUAAAGCACUUUUAAUCGGGAGGAACAUCUGAUGGUUAAUACCCAUCAGUCUGACAUUACCGAUAGAAAAAGCACCGGCUAACUCCGUGCCAGCCGCCGCUGUAAAAC
rnacentral:rRNA from 1 species